rnacentral:rRNA from 1 species
CGGUGGCUCGCUACCUGCAAGUCGAGCGGUAGCACAGAGAGCUUGCUCUCGGGUGACGAGCGGCGGACGGGUGAGUAAUGUCUGGGAAACUGCCUGAUGGAGGGGGAUAACUACUGGAAACGGUAGCUAAUACCGCAUAACGUCGCAAGACCAAAGUGGGGGACCUUCGGGCCUCAUGCCAUCAGAUGUGCCCAGAUGGGAUUAGCUAGUAGGUGGGGUAAUGGCUCACCUAGGCGACGAUCCCUAGCUGGUCUGAGAGGAUGACCAGCCACACUGGAACUGAGACACGGUCCAGACUCCUACGGGAGGCAGCAGUGGGGAAUAUUGCACAAUGGGCGCAAGCCUGAUGCAGCCAUGCCGCGUGUAUGAAGAAGGCCUUCGGGUUGUAAAGUACUUUCAGCGAGGAGGAAGGCGUUAAGGUUAAUAACCUUGGUGAUUGACGUUACUCGCAGAAGAAGCACCGGCUAACUCCGUGCCAGCAGCCGCGGUAAUACGGAGGGUGCAAGCGUUAAUCGGAAUUACUGGGCGUAAAGCGCACGCAGGCGGUCUGUCAAGUCGGAUGUGAAAUCCCCGGGCUCAACCUGGGAACUGCAUUCGAAACUGGCAGGCUAGAGUCUUGUAGAGGGGGGUAGAAUUCCAGGUGUAGCGGUGAAAUGCGUAGAGAUCUGGAGGAAUACCGGUGGCGAAGGCGGCCCCCUGGACAAAGACUGACGCUCAGGUGCGAAAGCGUGGGGAGCAAACAGGAUUAGAUACCCUGGUAGUCCACGCCGUAAACGAUGUCGACUUGGAGGUUGUGCCCUUGAGGCGUGGCUUCCGGAGCUAACGCGUUAAGUCGACCGCCUGGGGAGUACGGCCGCAAGGUUAAAACUCAAAUGAAUUGACGGGGGCCCGCACAAGCG